GCUGACAUAUUUGGACUUAUUUAUGACAUUCAGCUAUGUGUUUUAUAUUUACCACAAUUUUUCUAUGCUUCUUUUUAUCUACUUUCCUGCAUUCUGUGGAUCCUCUCACCCUUUUGUUUUUCCUAUAAUAGUUUAUUUUGAGUUCAGCCAUUUUUUUUUCUUUAUCAUUUCCAUAUGUUUGAUACAGAGGUGGAAGUUUUCAAUCUAUCAUUGGUGCUCAAACUAUCAUCUUGAUUUAGAAAUAGUCUUUUUAACUUUCAAUCAUCUUUGUAGAUUUCUUGAACUUUAAUGCAAAGAGUACCCAGAUUUAAUAUUCUCAGUACCCUUGUAAAGAAAACUCUUUAGAUUUCUUAGAAUAAAUAUUCUUUUAUCUUUUAUGGAAAAUGUAAGAGAAACCUCCUUGCCAGAUUUGCCAGAUAAAUAACAAAAUACCUCAGAUGAAGCAAAAAAAAAAAAAAAAAGGUCCAGCAAAGAAAACUCCAAAAACAGUGAUCCAGGUGCAGUGAAGAAAUACUGAAAAGACCAGAGGAGUCAAGCAAGCCUGCAGGUGACUGGAAAAGGCAGUCACAUCAGUGGGAUAUAAAGGAGCUCAAGACUAAGAUAGAUACAUUGAUGUAGAACAGUCUUUCUCAAAGUGUGCAUAUUAUUAUGCAGUUGGUAAUGGUGGGAUAAUUAGCAUUGAACUGUCCAGAUUUAAAACCUAGGACCAUCGCUAACCAUUUAGGUGAGUUAGAUAGCCAUUCAAAACCUCAGUUUUCCCAUCUGUAAAAUGGGAAUUGUAAUACUUACCUUAAAGGAUUGUUAAGAAAUUAAAAUGAAGUAAUGCAUAUUACACUGUGUAGUAGAGCACCUGAUACAUAGUAAACAGUGAGUAAAUGGUAGCUAUUAUAAUUAUUAAAAUAGAGUCUAAAGACAGCCAGCACCAGAAUCGUUAACGAGGAGGAAGUGACCAUAGCAAGUGUAGACUAGAGAGUCAAGGUGCUUGUCUGUAAAAGGACAGAGAGAAGUUAGUUGUCUGAGCAUUUGGGGCUGAUAGUGAGUGUUGUUUAUAAGAUAGGGUAAGGGGAGCUGAAUAUGUUUAUUUGCCAAGGGAAAGGAGUCAAAGAGAGGGAGUGGUUGAAGACACAGAAGAGUAGGGCCUGAUAAAGUCAAAACCCUGAGUUGAGAGAAGGGGAUGGGAUCCAGAGCCCAAGUGGAGGAUUUGGCUGAAUUAAGAGGAGAAACUCCUCACAAGUGAGAUUCAAGGGAAGAGGUGUAGUCACAGGAAUAGAUGUAGUUACGGAAGCUUGUAAGGGGAUUCAGGGAGGCAACACGUUAUCGGAGAUCCUGCCUCUGGGAAGAAAGAAAUGAAGACACAAACUCAGAGUCAGUGGGAAGGCAAUUGGGUUGGCGACCUAAGGAAUGUAGGGAAAAUUUCAACCAAAUUCUAAGGGAACCAAGAAAAAGAACUGACUAGCACCAUUGAGAAGUGUUUUGGCUGCAGUGAGGGUCUAGCUUAAGUGUCAGACCAUUAAUUGACAUUAUUACCAACAUGAAAAGUUGCGUGAUUUUUCUCCAGCGGUUCUCUGUAUCUCUGGUGUUUCUGCAUCUCUGUUGUCUCUACAUUUCUGGUGUAGGAAUGGAGGAAGUGGGUGCCCAAAUGGACCCAGUAUUAGGUUUUUACAGAAUGGGCACAGCAAAAGGACCAGAAGCAAGAAUGGCAAUGUUACUGGCACUGUUAUUUAGUAUUGGUAAAACCAACAGUGAAAUUGUCCGUCAUACUUCUAGGUGGAUGAGGAAGUGAAAACAAAAUGAGAAAAAUGAGUGGCCAUGGGACUGGAUGACAGGAUAAAUUGAAAGAGCAAAUAUAUUCAUUCAUGCCUUGAACAGCAGAUCCUGUCUAGAUGCAUUUAUGUGACAGUGUACAAAGCAGAUACAAGCACAUCUCCCAUGGAGACCACAGUCUAUUGUUUACAGAGAAAAUAUAUGUAUUAGAUGGUGACACGUGCAAUUGAAAAAAUAAAAAUAAGGAGAAUAUGUAAUGGGAGAGAGGUUGCUAACUGAUAUGUAGAUGGUCAAGGAAGGUCUUAUCAAUACAAAGACAUUUGAGCAGAGAUAUCAUACAAGGAGUACUGUGAGCGUACAGAUGUGUAGGGAAAAGUGGGUAUAAAGAGUAUCAAGAGAGUAUCAAUGAAAUAAAUCCACCAGAACUUGGAAAAUUCACAUUGGGCUUGAGUGAUCAUAGCUUUUCUUUAUGUGUAUGCAACAAAUCCAUUUAAGUAUAUUUGUGUUAAAAUUUCUCCCUAAAUUAACACCAAGGUUACUGGCUUACAAUUUGGGAAAUGCACUACCUCCUGAUUUGCAAAGCAGGAAAUGAAUCAGCUCUAGGCUAUCCACACCUCUCCUGCUCUCCACCAUAAGGAAUAUCCAGUGAUGCUGAGGAAUCUCUUUUGCAAGUUUGUCCAGUCAGGAAUUCUAAGUUUUCUGGAAAAUAAUUCCACUGGGCCCAAGGACUAGAUUAACUGAGAACUCUCUCACAGCUUCAUCAGCUAUCUUUUAUACAUGUCUUUUACCAAUGUUUAGUCUAUCCUUUUCUUUUUUUUUUUUUUUUUUUAUUAAUGUUAUGAUAGAUUACAACCUUGUGAGAUUUCAGUUGUACAUUUUUGUUAGUCAUGUUGUGGGUACACCACUUCCCCCUCCG
ensembl:lncRNA